UGAACGUGUGGGUAGAGGGUGAGGGCUGAGGCUUCCUGUACGUAGUAGCUGCGUGUGUGGAUGCCGUUGAACACAUGAACACGUUUAAUGUUCUCCUUCGUUUGACUCCUGUGAACUUUAAUGUGUGAUAAUCAGUGCAUCUCAUGGACGUGUUAAGACAGAGGUGUUUUGUUUCCACAGUGGAAACAAACUGCCCAAAUCCUUCACUCAGUCUCGUUCUGUCCACGUCGGCGCAGGGUCUUCUCGGCCAUUACUGGAGGCCUCGUUCAUUAACCGAGCGCAGACGCACGCGAUGGCAGCAAACGAGAGGCCCAGCGAGUGGGAGGGAGCCUGCGUUCAAAUGAGAGUUACAUCAGGCAUACGGCGUCGAGACGCUCCUUCCCACUCACAAAUACAUCAGACAGACUUUUAAAAGACUCCAGCCGAACUGAAGAAGCAGAGCGUUUGUCAACCUGUGCCGUUAAAUAGAUCUUCAGCCUAUAAUCAGAUUCUGCUCCAUCAGGCCUGUGACAGCAGAAAAGCCUCCAUGAUAUUACAUCCUGCUAUUACAAUACAGUUUAACAGCGUGAGUCAUUUCAUGCUGUUACCUAAAUGGAUGAGGAUAUAGGGCUGGUGGUUGAUUUAGUGACGUAGCAGCACCAGGCCACAACCAAAGCGUCUGUCACGGCUUCCGAGGUAGCGGACCCACAUGCACAGCGAAGACAAGACUUGAGUGGUAACGCAGUUUACUUAAUUCGUGGUCAGGCAAACGGAGGUCAAUACACAGAACAGGCAGGUACAGUACAGACAGGGUUUAGACAAGCGGUGGUCACAGGGCAGGCUAGGGUCAACUCACGGCAAGGCAGGAUCAUAGACGAGACAAGAAUCAGGGUCAGGAGAAGCAAGGUCAUACACGGAUUCAAGAUCAUGAAUAUACACGCUGGAUUGCUGGCUAAUGCACAUAGACAAUCUGGCAACCAGUUGGGGUGAGAGGUGGUGCUUAAGUAGUGGCAAUUGAUGGCUAGAUGAGGAACAGGUGUGUGGUCUGGAGCAGGAAGUAAAGCUGGCAGUAACUAAUAAUGGGUGAGGCAGGAAGUGAUAAUAACAUAAACCCGGAAAUGAACAUAAACAGUGGUGCAGUGACUGAGUCCAUGACAGCGUCAUUACUUCAUGUCUGUUCUCUGCCUCUUGUUGUUUCUGCAUCUGAAAUAGAUGCACGUUGUCUCUGUACCGAUGAGCUCAUGUAGGUACACGGUGGUUGCAGCAGCCACUGCUGGUUCACAGUACAAGUAAAACUAUGUCUUGAAAAGCAAGGAACUUCCAAAAUGGCAAAUACAGAUGAUGAUGUUUAAAAUGCUGCAAUGCCCGAUCUGGCGAUGACAGUGAAGUAUAUUUGCUAUGUGUUUUUGCAUGUUUGAAUCUUGUCAGGUGUGACUGAUCAUGCUGCCUGUUCCCCUGUAAAGCUGUGAGUUUCCAGUUCCUUGGGUGAAAGCUGCAGAGUUUAAACACACUGGAAAUCUAUCAGAUGUGUGGUCAACACAUGCCAAUGCAUGAACAGGUGCUAGCUAAGCUCCCACACUGCAAUAGAAACGCUCAGUGCCUCUUUUAGUGCAUUUUGACAUUUUGCGGUCGAUGUGGUUAUUAACCACAUGCUGCUCUCUGUGCAGAAGUGUUUGACUGUUGCACGGCACAAACAUGCACUUUAAACUAGCAUAAAAACAUAAAAACACUUUCAUAUAUAUGUUGAAAGAAUACUGUUUUAACUUCAUGUUCCGUCGUAAGUGAGACACAUGUCGCUGUGAACAGCUUCCAACCACUUCCUCUCCUCUGCACCUCCUUCACAAACACAUCUGAGAGCUGAUGGUGAGGUGUCACUCUGUCUGUGUCUGUCUGAGGGCAAGGAUGUUCAGCAGAGGCCAAGCUCUUCUCUCCGUUCGCCUCCUGCUGAUGAUCCAGGUCCAUGCAGCGUUAGAGCAAGUCGAGCACAGGACUGAACAGGUGUCUAGAGGAGACUCCAUCACACUGAUGUGCAACAUAUCUACAGAAAAUGCAACACAAAUCACAUGGACUAAAGACAUGUUUUAUUUUAGUUAUUCAAUUAACAAGAAUCAGACUUAUUCAAAUUUAACCUCUCAUAAAGUCAUAAUAGAAGCUGAGGCUCCUACAGAACUGACUAUAUCUGAUGUUCAGCAUGAAGACGCAGGACUUUACAUAUGUAAUGUAACUACUCUACGCUGCAUAAAGAGCAUCAGGUGGAAUUUAACUGUGUCUGAGAAAGUUGGAGGUGUCACAGAACGAUUGUGGCUUUUUCUCACACCUGUAGCUGGACUUCUGUUAUGUGGAGUAAUAGUAGCGGUCUGCAUCUGCAGAUCCUGUAAAACACGAUCACAAAAACAGGAUCCAGUCGAGAACCAGUUUCAGUCCCAAUCAGGAAGAGAGGCAAGUAGAUUCCUUAAACGCCGCCACAGUCAUAGUUUGAAACGCCUUUGACCCUCAUACAUUCUUACUUAUCGUUACAGAGGGUUCCUUACCGAACACAAGGUGUCGAGGAUCAUGGGAAUGAAGACGACACACAUUUCAUGGAGAGACUCAACUCAAUAUAUCAUAUCAACUGAACCGACUAAUCUAUCCAUGAGAACACAGAGAAUGGCUGAAGGUCUGGAGGUGGAGUCGGGGGGUCCUUCACCAAACUGUGGAGGUGAUCUACAAUCUAGUUCAGUCCUUGAGCAAGGCACUGAUCUCUGCUGCUGCUAUUGGAUCACAUUGCAAAUGAACAAGACGUGAAGAGAAAUCAGAUGUGAUGUUUACUGCCCACUUCCAGCCUCUGUGCUUAAGGAAACGUGAGGACCGAUUGAUACCUUUGACUCAUACGCUGUUGAUACAUAAACAAGGAUCUUCACCAGAUGUUGAGGAUGAUUGCAGCAUCCUUAUUUUCUAGUUUUUACAUUUCCUGUGUAGUGCUGGUUGGGUUGAUAUGUUUCUUUGCAUAUUAUACCGAAUGUCAGCUCGUCUUUCCUGCAGUAAGACUGCGUGGAGGUGAGUUUGUUGUGUCAUUUAAAUAAACUGAACUCAAGCAGCUGUAAA